rnacentral:rRNA from 1 species
GAUGAACGCUGGCGGCGUGCCUAAUACAUGCAAGUCGAGCGAACAGACGAGGAGAUUGCUCCUCUGACGUUAGCGGCGGACGGGUGGGUAACACGUGGAUAACCUACCUAUAAGACUGGGAUAACUACGGGGAACCGCAGACAAUACCGGCUAAUAUAUCCAACCGCAUGGUUCAAUAGUGAAAGACGGUUUUCCCGUCAGUAAGAGACGGUUUCGGGCCGCAUUAGCUAGUUGGUAAGGUAACGGCUUACCAAGGCGACGAUGCGUAGCCGACCUGAGAGGGUGAUCGGCCACACUGGAACUGAGACACGGUCCAGACUCCUACGGGAGGCAGCAGUAGGGAAUAUUCCACAAUGGGCGAAAGCCUGACGGAGCAACACCGCGUGAGUGAUGAAGGUCUUCGGAUCGUAAAGCUCUGUUAUUGGGGAAGAAAAAAUGUAUAAGUAACUAUCGACGUCUUGACGGUACCUAAACAGAAAGCCACGGCUAACUUCGUG